rnacentral:rRNA from 1 species
UACGUAGGGACCGAGCGUUGUCCGGAUUCAUUGGGCGUAAAGAGCUCGUAGGCGGCCACUCAAGUCGAAUGUGAAACCUCGAGGCUUAACCUCGAGCCUGCAUUCGAUACUGGGCGGCUAGAGUCUGGUAGGGGGAUCUGGAAUUCCUGGUGUAGCGGUGGAAUGCGCAGAUAUCAGGAGGAACACCGGUGGCGAAGGCGGGUCUCUGGGCCGAAACUGACGCUGAGGAGCGAAAGCGUGGGGAGCAAACAGG